rnacentral:rRNA from 1 species
UGGCGGACGGGUGAGUAAUGUCUGGGAAACUGCCCGGUGGAGGGGGAUAACUACUGGAAACGGUAGCUAAUACCGCAUAACGUCGCAAGACCAAAGAGGGGGACCUCCGGGCCUCGCGCCAUCAGAUGAACCCAUAUGGGAUUAGCUUGUAGGUAAGGUAACGGCUUACCUAGGCGACGAUCCCUAGCUGGUCUGAGAGGAUGAUCAGCCACACUGGGACUGAGACACGGCCCAG